CCACCUCUAUCUCUAAGCUUUUGUCGUUGCCAACACCCCUCAACCCGCCGAAAAAAUUAUUUUUUUCGGUGUCCAACUCAGCUGGUCCCCCCUCUUCUCCCCUCAUCUCUCACAUCCACGUCAUCAAAAUCUCAUCAAACUCUGACAACAGAGAAUAUCCUCGUCCCCUCACAUGAUUUUCUUUCAUCUUUUGGAUGAAUUUUGGAAAGAAUGGGAGCCGUAGGAUUUGAAUUACUAAAAAUCCUAUCCUUCCAUUUUAACCGAAAUUAGUCAAAAAAGAGAAAAAAUCAGGAAUUUUUUGGAUUGCUUGGCUUGAAGAGCAAGCAUGGAAGUUUCU
rnacentral:lncRNA from 1 species